UUAACUAUUAUAUAGUACUCAGACGACAUUAUAAACAGAGUUUAGGGUCCUCUGGCGAGCACUCACCAGCGUGAGCCGGUGGCCGAAGCGGCUCGCCAAAGCAACAAAGGUAUAAUUAACAUAGGGUUGGAGAGUCACCCUUGCGGGCGAGUUUCUCUGUAAUGAUCCCUCCGCAGGUUCACCUACGGAGA
rnacentral:misc_RNA from 1 species